ensembl:lncRNA LOC120100659 uncharacterized LOC120100659
ACACACACACACACGGGGGGGGAGAGAGAGAGAGAGAGAGAGAGAGAGAGAGAGAGAGAGAGAGAGAGAGAGAGAGAGAGAGAAAGCAAAAAAAGAGGAAGGUGCUUAGAAGAGGCAGGGAUGCCCGGUGAAAAGCAGAGAGUCGGGGAUCCGGCUUAACCCAGGCAUUUGGGAAGGGGGGCUGGAGGUGGAACACGACUCAACGGACCGCAGCCGCUCUGGCUAGGGCGGUAGAGCGCCAGGGUGAGAGGGUGAGGAUGCCCUGCGGGCUUCCGCACUACUCUGACACCAAACAGAAUGGCUAGGCUCCGGUGGUGAAGUAAAAGUUCCCGGUGGCGUGAAGGCGGUGGAUAGCCACCUUGCCCGUGCACGGAGGCUGUCUGGGGAAGCGGCCUCGAGGGCUGGAUGGACUGGGUGGAAGCCCUCGCAGGGGGUCCUACGGCUCUAGCUUUUGUACCGCCCCGCCUAGGCCAGUCCGGAGCUGACGCACCAGCUCCCCAGAGACGCUGGGGGCGUCGCACUGCAGCUGGGUGGGGAGCAAUUUAUUCCUGGCGGUCACAUCCCACCCCAUCUUCUGUUACUCCACCCUACCCUCCCAUCCCUCCACCUCUUCCUCCUCCUUUUCUACCAACGCCCGCACUAUCUUCUGGUUCUUCUCCUCCUCACCCUCCACUCCCCCUCUCUCCCUUCUUUUCUUUUCUCCCUUCCCCUCCCCCUCUUCUGAAUAACCAAGCUGUUUUGCCUCCGAAAGGGGAGAGAGAGAGAGAGAGAGAGAGAGAGAGAGAGAGAGAGAGAGAGAGAGAGAGAGAGAGAGAGAGAGGCCUGCGGUGACUGGAAGACAGGAGGGAAUCUGGAUCUGGUACAUCUGGGAAGUGGAAACUUGAUGCUUCUGGGCGGUGAUUUGCCAAGGCCUCGCCAAAGACGCCUAAAGGAGCCUGUUUGUGUGCUGUGGCCACGUUCUGCUGUGACUGGAUCUUGUCUUCUGCCUGGGUCCUCGAUUUCCGUCCGGCUGAAUUUGGGGACAACACUGCUUGGCGCAGACAGAUCAAAUGAGACUUCAAAGAAGCAUAUCCUGAACAAGCUAUUCAAUCAACCAAAGGCCGGGGCAGCAGUACGCCAGCAAGACGCAUCUUCUCCCCGCCUAGAAGUCCUGAGAAAUCGAGGAUCUCUCCUAAAACAUUCAUAUACAAGAUAUGUGCAAUCAAGCUUCCAGCACUUGGUACAAAGCUCAUGAUGCCUAACCCAGUGAUCCGGAGCAGAUCUUUGAAUCAGCUGUCACUUCUAUAGAAUGGGAUUUUCCCCUUCUUCCUCUUUAACCAGCGUUGGAAACUGCCUAUGGCUUUACACAUCUCAGUAGAGGAAGGCUAAAGAAUCUUACGUGAGAAUGAAGCAAUUUACAAUGCAAAUAGAGGCCUGUGAAGAGCUGGACGCUGCUGCUCUACCCCCAACAGCUUGCUGCACCUUAGUCGCUGGUCUUAUUUUCCGAUACUAAUAGAUGAAUUGUUGGCUAACGAUGCUGGAGAUUACUUGCUGGAAGGGGAAAGAAAAAGUUUGGAAUAAAUUCUGAAUGCAACAGAUCUCAUUUGGAUGUUCUAGACGCAUACACCCAGACAGAAACCAGGUCAUGUUUACAUGAAAGGAGAAUCUUAAACGCGGCGAAUAUCCUUCCCUGAGGACUAUGCUUCCCCCAAACCAACGAGGAUCCGGAUCUGGAGUCCAGCCAGAGGAAGACAGCCUUGUGAGGGAAGCGAGUUGUUAUCUUUGGUUAUCUAGCUGUAUGAGUGUAUUGGUCUUCAUAAAGCUAGAUAACCGAAAGUAAAAACUCCUUCAAGAUCACCGAGGAGUGCUCCGGAAAGAAAGACUACAGUCAAGAGACAGUAAAAACCAGAAAGGUCAGGAAUGCUUAUUGAAUCUAACUUUUUUUUUCUUAUGGUUGAAAGUGGGAUGCAAGGAAACUUAAGUGACACAUAUACUGAAAUCCUAAGGGGCCAGGUUUUGAGGGGGUUGUACAACUGGAGAGGAGAAUUGUGUAGUAUUUUUAUGGGCGAAGAUGCAUGUAUUUUCUAUAUUGUUCUAUUUUGAAGCAAACGUUUACUUAUGGGAUUUUUUUUCUUAGAAAGCUGUUAUAGCGAUGCCUGGUACCUCGUUUUAAAAAAUGAUUUCAUAAUUAUGUAGAUUGGGCAGUUCCCAUCUGAGGCUCCUCCCCCAAGUUUGAAGCUUGUGCCUGGAAACUUUCUAUGUAUUUGGUGUGUACAUCAAAUUCUGUGAAGUUAGACUUUCAGAAAGCUUAUACUGGGAGGUUAAUAAUUUAUCUCUACCGAGGACUUAGAGCUAGAAGGGAAAAGGGGUGGGGGCAAAGGCUGAUUUUUAUUCUUCUAUUCAAAAUACAAGGACAGAUGCUUCUCUGUUCCAAGAGGGUUUCCUUGAGGAAGCUACUGAAGCAGAAAGACAUGAUGGAGACGAGAUCGCCUCCCCUCUUGUCAAAGUGUUAAAAAAAUGUUCUGUCUUACUCUGCGCCUAGCAUUGGAAAUGAAAGUGACAUUUACGCCACAACCCACGUGUGCGCCUCCUCUCUUUUUGUUUAAGGAUGAUCAGGUCUAUCCAGGAAACAGCUCUGGCAUCCCAAACUGAAAUAAUUAGGACGUAUAUAGACCUGACAAAAAUGGAAGGGGGUGGGGAAUCUGAGGGUCUGUCUUGCCUAAUUGAUUCCGCUAAACGGAAAGCAGGAGAUGUGAACGGCAGGACGCUCCGAUUCCCACGCUCGGGGGCAAGUGGUAAAGCCUGGCCGGCAGCCUAUGACAGACAGCCCUGUUGGGGGGUAGGGGGAUGAAAAAAACAUCAAGCGCACACACACCAUACUCAUCUCCAUCCUUAAGAAAGUAAAGGCAUUUCCCACCCACAGCCAUCUGCAGCCUUCCAAAUGGCAACACCAACUGGUUGGUGACUGCUACGCGUACUGUCUCUGUUAUUUUUUUUUAAACCUCUGUUUAAUCUGGCCAUGAUUAAAUUUGGUUUUCUCCUUUGGUUGAAAUUUUCAUUAUUUAAGGAAAGCAAGUGCCAAGACCAUCCCAGGACUGCAUGCCCUCCUCAGAGAAGUCCUCGGUAUGUGGUUAGGGCCUGUGACCACCUUUGGCUUUUGUUUUGGCUGUGUUAUAUUUAAAAGUCACAUCUCAUAGCCCUCCUUACUAUGACUUACUUCAUUGGGUUGUUUACUUCCUUGUGUGACACACAAGGACUUGACCUACUGAUGCUGAUCUACAUUCUGAAAAUAAAGCUGGAAAGGCAUCAGCCUAUAGAAAGUUGGUUGCAACCACAGUAUGUUAAAGAACUUGUUUUAAAAUAGUCCUAGCAGAAUGUGCUUUUUUUCUUUUCUUCCUCCUCCUCCUCCUCCUCUCCCUCCUCCUCCUCCUCCCUCUUCACCUAAAAGUAACUAGUCCCAGCAUAAACUUUGAGGUUUUGAGGAACCAUGGUAGUCCUUUUUUGAAAUUCCUUAUAUUCUGUUACAUUUUAUCAGGCAAACAUUUGUAUAGGCAUUUGCACAUAAAUAUAAGGAUGGCAAUGAAAAAAAAAUCCCCAAACUGCCUGUUAUCUUCCACAUGGCCUAAAUUACUGAGACUCCCAAAUGCAUACUUUUUCUUCAGGGACAGUACAUUUUUCUUUACAGCUUCAACCUCUUACAGGGUUGAGACUAGAGGAACCAGUAAAGCCACUGGUACUCCCAUUUAGAAAAGCCAAGAGACUUUAAUAACGUAAAUUCUCAAUUUGGCUGCUGAACAUGUGCCAAAGUUUUACGGCUGUAGUGACUGUCGAGAAGACCCUUGUUUAUUUACCUUUAAAGCACUGUUUGUGCAAACAAGCCUUCAUUGUUAAGUGCCUGUAUUCCUUUCAUUUGCUUCUUGUCCAGGGGUGCUAUUUACCUAGAACCAUUGUCUACUACAAUUAACAUUUACAUUACAAAGUGUGUGCUUUUCCUUCUCAAGGAGGUUCAAUUAAGGCAAUAAGAUGUUUGCUGGGGAAACCUAUUGUUUACUCAAAGCACUCAAUGGGGUCAAAUUACUGAAGUUUUUGCCUACAUCUUGGGUUGUUUAUGUAAAUAUGUUAACUAUAACAUCUAAGGAAAAUAAACAAUAUUAAAAUUAUGUGUUCGCCAUUGUCAUAUCCAACUUGCUUUGUAUCAUACUAAUGUUACAUAACUUAUCGAUCAAUAAAAAUACAUUUCAAUGUUAUUUUCAUUUUACUUUUUGCUGUUCCACUGCUCCUGCUGCAACAUGUCCCAAAUUUUCUUUUU